GAUUAACGCUGGCGGCGUGCAUAACACAUGCAAGUCGAACGAUGAAACUUAAAUGAUUUCUUCGGAAUGAACUUAAGUGGAUUAGUGGCGGACGGGUGAGUAACGCGUGAGUAACCUGCCUUACACAAGGGGAUAGCCGUUGGAAACGACGAAUAAUACCCUAUGAUGUUUCUAUCUCGCAUGAGAUAUUAACCAAAGUGUUAGCGGUGUAAGAUGGACUUGCGUCUGAUUAGCUAGUUGGUGAGAAAAAAGCCCACCAAGGCAACGAUCAGUAGCCGGCUUGAGAGAGUGUACGGCCACAUUGGGACUGAGACACGGCCCAGACUCCUACGGGAGGCAGCAGUGGGGAAUUUUGCACAAUGGGGGAAACCCUGAUGCAGCGACGCCGCGUGAUUUAGAAGGCCUUCGGGUUGUAAAAAUCUUUUGUAUAGGAAGAAAAUGACAGUACUAUACGAAUAAGGUCCGGCUAAUUACGUG
rnacentral:rRNA from 1 species